CUAAGGGAUGGGAGGAGAAAGCCUAGCAGAGAAAACAACUGCAGGGAAGUAGUCAAAGUGGCCACUGGGAAAAAAAUAACUAGUUAAUGAGAGUACAACUUUAUUUUGAGAUGAAGAAAUUCCAGAUGGAAGAGGGAAGGAGAGAGAACUCAAAUCCAUCAACAAGUAGUUGCUUACCUCCAAGUAGCAGAUUACACUUCUAUAGCUCUUUAAAGCUUAAAAAGCAUGUCCUACAUAGCAAACCCAUGGGAUUUUAACUUAGUGGAUACAAGAACCUGGAAGCUGGAAGUCUCUGCAGAAUAUCAGCUGAGCUCUGUCAUCACAGGGAAAUGCCUCUGAGUCUCCCUUCCCAACAGUUGUCUGUAACUAGGCCUUGUCUUCCAGCUGUUUUCCUAAGCCACAGAACACUUGAUUGGUAAUAAGCCUUUGAAUUAUAGAAUGAGAGCUGGAGUGAGACCUUAGACAUCAUUGAAACCAAGCCCCUCGCUGGAUAAACAGGUGAAGAAACUGAAGCUGUGGAGGUUAAAUGACAUGCCCGUGAUCACACACUUAAUAAGCAGCAGAGUCCAGAUUUGAACCCUGCCCUCUCAUUCUAAAUUCAUCACGCUGAGAUGGAGCCAAGAUGGUGGAGUAAAGGUGGGGGACUCACCUGAGCUGUCCCCCAAACAUC